CCUACGGGAGGCAGCAGUAGGGAAUAUUGCACCAUGGGCGAAAGCCUGAUGCAGCAACGCCGCGUGAGUGAUGAAGGCCUUCGGGUCGUAAAACUCUUUUCAAGGGGAAGAGGAAGGACGGUACCCUUGGAAUAAGCAUCGGCUAACUACGUGCCAGCAGCCGCGGUAACACGUAGGAUGCAAGCGUUAUUCGGAUUUACUGGGCGUAAAGUGCGUGUAGGCGGUUAGGAGAGUUGGAUGUGAAAGCUCCCGGCUUAACUGGGAGAGGUCGUUCAAAACUUCCUGACUAGAGUUUGGUAGAGGAAAAUGGAAUUCCGGGUGUAGUGGUGAAAUGCGUAGAUAUCCGGAGGAACACCAGUGGCGAAAGCGAUUUUCUGGACCGAUACUGACGCUCAGACGCGAAAGCUAGGGUAGCAAACGGGAUUAGAGACCCCGGUAGUCCUAGCUGUAAACGAUGUAGACUUGGCGUUGGGAGAGUAAAAUCAUCCAGUGCCGAAGCAAACGCGAUAAGUCUACCGCCUGGGGAGUACGGCCGCAAGGUUAAAACUCAAAGGAAUUGACGGGGCCCCGCACAAGCAGCGGAGCGUGUGGUUUAAUUCGAUGCUACACGAAGAANCUUACCAGGGUUUGACAUAUAAGUGGUNNGGAAGGGAAACCGGACCGACCCNUCGGGGANCUAUGAGAAGGGCGAUUCCAGCACACUG
rnacentral:rRNA from 1 species